CAGGCACUCAAAGACACUGUACUCUCAGCUUGAGGCAGGACUCAGCACAUUUGUGCAGGGGAACCCAUGCCUCAUGCCACUCUCCAGUCUGCUCUGGGUGUUCCUGGCCUUCACCUUCCUUGGAUCUGGUGUGGCGCAGAACGUUAUUCAAGACCAGCCAGACAUAUCCGGUCAACUGGGACAGUCAGUCACCCUGAACUGUCGGUAUGGAACAACCUGGAGCUAUUUCUACAUGUUUUGGUACAAGCUGCUUCCCAAUGGAGAGAUGAUUUACCUUAUUGGUCAGGUUUCUUCUAGCCAGAAUGCAAGGAAUGGCCGCUACUCUGUAAAAUUUCAGAAAGCUCGUAAAUCCAUCAGCCUCACCAUUUCAGACUUAGAGCUGGAAGAUUCUGCAGAGUAUUUCUGUGCUCUCUGGGAGCUCACACAGCAACACGUGUGA